rnacentral:snoRNA from 1 species
ACGUUAAUUUGAAUGUAGUGGACACUUGUCCCUCUGGGCCCCUUCUAGUGUCCUGUGCCAGUACACACUGUAGUCUGGACAUUUGCACCUGGCCUGUGUUUGUGAGCUGCUAGCACUGACGUAGGUUUUCAAGUG